AGUCGAGGGGUAUAGUUCUUCGGAAUUAGAGACCGGCGCACGGGUGCGUAACGCGUAUGCAAUCUACCUUUUGCAGAGGGAUAGCCCAGAGAAAUUUGGAUUAAUACCUCAUAGUAUAGCAGUUUCGCAUGAAACCACUAUUAAAGUCACAACGGCAAAAGAUGAGCAUGCGUCCCAUUAGCUAGUUGGUAAGGUAACGGCUUACCAAGGCUACGAUGGGUAGGGGUCCUGAGAGGGAGAUCCCCCACACUGGUACUGAGACACGGACCAGACUCCUACGGGAGGCAGCAGUGAGGAAUAUUGGACAAUGGGCGCAAGCCUGAUCCAGCCAUGCCGCGUGCAGGAUGACGGUCCUAUGGAUUGUAAACUGCUUUUGUACAGGAAGAAACACUCCCUCGUGAGGGAGCUUGACGGUACUGUAAGAAUAAGGAUCGGCUAACUCCGUGCCAGCAGCCGCGGUAAUACGGAGGAUCCAAGCGUUAUCCGGAAUCAUUGGGUUUAAAGGGUCCGUAGGCGGUUUAGUAAGUCAGUGGUGAAAGCCCAUCGCUCAACGGUGGAACGGCCAUUGAUACUGCUAGACUUGAAUUAUUAGGAAGUAACUAGAAUAUGUAGUGUAGCGGUGAAAUGCUUAGAGAUUACAUGGAAUACCAAUUGCGA
rnacentral:rRNA from 1 species